rnacentral:rRNA from 1 species
CCCUUAGAUGUUCUGGGCCGCACGCGCGCUACACUGAUGCAUUCAACGAGCCUAUCCUUGACCGACAGGUCCGGGUAAUCUUUGAAUCUGCAUCGUGACGGGGAUAGAUUAUUGCAAUUAUUAAUCUUCAACGAGGAAUGCCUAGUAGGCGCAAGUCAUCAGCUUGCGUCGAUUACGUCCCCGCCCUUUGUACACACCGCCCGUCGCUCCUACCGAUUGAGUGGUCCGGUGAGGCUUUGGGAUCUGAGCGGAAAGAGCGUUUCGCUGUUUCUGCUCGGAAAACUCAGUCGAACCUUAUCAUUUAGAGGAAGGAGAAGUCGUAACA